CCCCUCUCAGGAUCACACCUGGAGGGCUUUCAAUACUCUACCAGUCUCAGCUACAGGAGGGAGAGUAAAGCAGAGGCAUACUCAUUCCAUUCCUAGCUUGGGCAGUGUCUAGUCAGUGGAAGACAAUCUGCUACAAGU